rnacentral:rRNA from 1 species
AACGCGAAGAACCUUACCUACCCUUGACAUGCCUGGAACCCUGCAGAGAUGUGGGGGUGCCCGAAAGGGAGCCGGGACACAGGUGCUGCAUGGCCGUCGUCAGCUCGUGUCGUGAGAUGUUGGGUUAAGUCCCGCAACGAGCGCAACCCUUGCCAUUAGUUGCUACGAAAGGGCACUCUAAUGGGACUGCCGGUGACAAACCGGAGGAAGGUGGGGAUGACGUCAGGUCCUCAUGGCCCUUAUGGGUAGGGCUACACACGUCAUACAAUGGCCGGUACAGAGGGCUGCCAACCCGCGAGGGGGAGCUAAUCCCAGAAAACCGGUCGUAGUCCGGAUUGCAGUCUGCAACUCGACUGCAUGAAGUCGGAAUCGCUAGUAAUCGCGGAUCAGAAUGUCGCGGUGAAUACGUUCCCGGGUCUUGUACACACCG